rnacentral:rRNA from 1 species
CCUACGGGAGGCAGCAGUGAGGAAUAUUGGUCAAUGGACGAGAGUCUGAACCAGCCAAGUAGCGUGAAGGAUGACUGCCCUAUGGGUUGUAAACUUCUUUUAUAUGGGAAUAAAACGUUCCACGUGUGGGAUUUUGUAUGUACCAUUUGAAUAAGGAUCGGCUAACUCCGUGCCAGCAGCCGCGGUAAUACGGAGGAUCCGAGCGUUAUCCGGAUUUAUUGGGUUUAAAGGGAGCGUAGGUGGAUUGUUAAGUCAGUUGUGAAAGUUUGCGGCUCAACCGUAAAAUUGCAGUUGAAACUGGCAGUCUUGAUUACAGUAGAGGUGGGCGGAAUUCGUGGUGUAGCGGUGAAAUGCUUAGAUAUCACGAAGAACUCCGAUUGCGAAGGCAGUUCACUGGACUGCAACUGACACUGAGGCUCGAAAGUGUGGGUAUCAAACAGGAUUAGAUACCCCAGUAGUC